rnacentral:rRNA from 1 species
UACGAAGGGGGCUAGCGUUGUUCGGAAUUACUGGGCGUAAAGCGCACGUAGGCGGACAUUUAAGUCAGGGGUGAAAGCCCACGGCUCAACCGUGGAAGUGCCUUUGAUACUGCGGGCCUUGAGGGAGGUAGGGGCGUGCGGAACUUCCGGUGGAGCGGUGAAAUGCGUAGAUAUCGGAAGGAACACCGGUGGCGAAAGCGGCGCGCUGGACCUCUUCUGACGCUGAGGCGCGAAAGCCAGGGGAGCAAACGGG